rnacentral:rRNA from 1 species
UACGUAGGGGGCAAGCGUUGUUCGGAAUUACUGGGCGUAAAGGGCGCGUAGGCGGCACGGUAAGUCGGGAGUGAAAGCCCGGGGCUCAACCCCGGAACGUCUUUCGAAACUGCCGAGCUAGAGUGCGGAAGAGGCAACUGGAAUUCCCAGUGUAGCGGUGAAAUGCGUAGAUAUUGGGAAGAACACCUGAGGCGAAAGGCGGGUUGCUGGGCCGACACUGACGCUGAUGCGCGAAAGCCAGGGGAGCGAACGGG